rnacentral:rRNA from 1 species
AUUGAACGCUAGCGGGAUGCCUUACACAUGCAAGUCGAACGGAGUGGCGAACGGGUGCGGAAUGUAUCUGUACGUGCACAGUCGCGGGGGAUAACUACACCAAAGCGUAGCUAAUACCGCAUACUCUUGGAGCGGCCGAUAGCGGAUUAGCCAGUUGGUGGGGUAAAGGCUCACCAAGGCGACGAUCCGUAGCUGGUUUGAGAGGACGACCAGCCACACUGGGACUGAGACACGGCCCAGACUCCGACGGGAGGCAGCAGUGGGGAAUUUUGGACAAUGGGGGAAACCCUGAUCCAGCCAUCCCGCGUGUGCGAUGAAGGCCUUCGGGUUGUAAAGCACUUUUGGCAGGAAAGCGGUACCUGCAGAAUAAGCACCGGCUAACUACGUGCCAGCAGCCGCGGUAAUAC